UACGGAGGAGGCAAGCGUUAUCCGGAAUUAUUGGGCGUAAAGCGUCCGCAGGUGGCGAUUCAAGUCUGCGGUCAAAGACUGGGGCUUAACCCUGGAAAGGCCGUGGAAACUGAAUAGCUAGAGUGCAGUAGGGGUAGAGGGAAUUCCCGGUGUAGCGGUGAAAUGCGUAGAGCUCGGGAAGAACAUCGGUGGCGAAAGCGCUCUGCUGGGCUGUUGCUGACGCUGAGGCGCGACAGCGUGGGGAGCAAACAGG
rnacentral:rRNA from 1 species